rnacentral:rRNA from 1 species
UGAGGAAUAUUGGUCAAUGGACGAGAGUCUGAACCAGCCAAGUAGCGUGAAGGAUGACUGCCCUAUGGGUUGUAAACUUCUUUUAUACGGGAAUAAAGUUAGCCACGUGUGGCUUUUUGUAUGUACCGUAUGAAUAAGGAUCGGCUAACUCCGUGCCAGCAGCCGCGGUAAUACGGAGGAUCCGAGCGUUAUCCGGAUUUAUUGGGUUUAAAGGGAGCGUAGAUGGAUGUUUAAGUCAGUUGUGAAAGUUUGCGGCUCAACCGUAAAAUUGCAGUUGAUACUGGAUAUCUUGAGUGCAGUUGAGGCAGGCGGAAUUCGUGGUGUAGCGGUGAAAUGCUUAGAUAUCACGAAGAACUCCGAUUGCGAAGGCAGCCUGCUAAGCUGCAACUGACAUUGAGGCUCGAAAGUGUGGGUAUCAAACAGGAUUAGAUACCCUGGUAGUCCACACGGUAAACGAUGAAUACUCGCUGUUUGCGAUAUACAGCAAGCGGCCAAGCGAAAGCGUUAAGUAUUCCACCUGGGGAGUACGCCGGCAACGGUGAAACUCAAAGGAAUUGACGGGGGCCCGCACAAGCGGAGGAACAUGUGGUUUAAUUCGAUGAUACGCGAGGAACCUUACCCGGGCUUAAAUUGCAGAUGAAUUACGGUGAAAGCCGUAAGCCGCAAGGCAUCUGUGAAGGUGCUGCAUGGUUGUCGUCAGCUCGUGCCGUGAGGUGUCGGCUUAAGUGCCAUAACGAGCGCAACCCUUGUUGUCAGUUACUAACAGGUUCCGCUGAGGACUCUGACAAGACUGCCAUCGUAAGAUGUGAGGAAGGUGGGGAUGACGUCAAAUCAGCACGGCCCUUACGUCCGGGGCUACACACGUGUUACAAUGGUAGGUACAGAGGGCAGCUACCCAGCGAUGGGAUGCGAAUCUCGAAAGCCUAUCUCAGUUCGGAUUGGAGGCUGAAACCCGCCUCCAUGAAGUUGGAUUCGCUAGUAAUCGCGCAUCAGCCAUGGCGCGGUGAAUACGUUCCC